GUGAAGAGGGAAACAACCCAGACCGCCAGCUAAGGUCCCAAAGUCAUGGUUAAGUGGGAAACGAUGUGGGAAGGCAUAGACAGCCAGGAUGUUGGCUUAGAAGCAGCCAUCAUUUAAAGAAAGCGUAAUAGCUCACUGGUCGAGUCGGCCUGCGCGGAAGAUGUAACGGGGCUAAACCAUGCACCGAAGCUGCGGCAGCGACACUAUGUGUUGUUGGGUAGGGGAGCGUUCUGUAAGCCUGUGAAGGUGGCCUGUGAGGGCUGCUGGAGGUAUCAGAAGUGCGAAUGCUGACAUAAGUAACGAUAAAGCGGGUGAAAAGCCCGCUCGCCGGAAGACCAAGGGUUCCUGUCCAACGUUAAUCGGGGCAGGGUAAGUCGACCCCUAAGGCGAGGCCGAAAGGCGUAGUCGAUGGGAAACAGGUUAAUAUUCCUGUACUUGGUGUUAUUGCGAAGGGGGGACGGAGAAGGCUAGACCGGCCGGGCGACGGUUGUCCCGGUUUAAGCGUGUAGGUGUGAUGACCUGGCAAAUCCGGUUAUCUCUAACACUGAGGCGUGAUGACGAGGCACUACGGUGCUGAAGUGGUUAAUGCCCUGCUUCCAGGAAAAGCCUCUAAGCUCUAGAUAACACUGAAUCGUACCCCAAACCGACACAGGUGGUCAGGUAGAGAAUACCAAGGCGCUUGAGAGAACUCGGGUGAAGGAACUAGGCAAAAUGGUGCCGUAACUUCGGGAGAAGGCACGCUGGCAUGUAGGUGAAGUCCCUCGCGGAUGGAGCCGAAGCCAGUCGAAGAUACCAGCUGGCUGCAACUGUUUAAUAAAAACACAGCACUCUGCAAACACGAAAGUGGACGUAUAGGGUGUGACGCCUGCCCGGUGCUGGAAGGUUAAUUGAUGGGGUCAGCCGCAAGGCGAAGCUCUUGAUCGAAGCCCCAGUAAACGGCGGCCGUAACUAUAACGGUCCUAAGGUAGCGAAAUUCCUUGUCGGGUAAGUUCCGACCUGCACGAAUGGCGUAAUGAUGGCCAGGCUGUCUCCACCCGAGACUCAGUGAAAUUGAACUCGCUGUGAAGAUGCAGUGUACCCGCGGCAAGACGGAAAGACCCCGUGAACCUUUACUAUAGCUUGACACUGAACAUUGAACCUUGAUGUGUAGGAUAGGUGGGAGGCUUUGAAGUGUGGACGCCAGUCUGCAUGGAGCCGACCUUGAAAUACCACCCUUUAAUGUUUGAUGUUCUAACCUGGUCCCGUAAUCCGGGAUAGGGACAGUGUCUGGUGGGUAGUUUGACUGGGGCGGUCUCCUCCCAAAGAGUAACGGAGGAGCACGAAGGUUAGCUAAUCCUGGUCGGACAUCAGGAGGUUAGUGCAAAGGCAUAAGCUAGCUUGACUGCGAGAGUGACGGCUCGAGCAGGUGCGAAAGCAGGUCUUAGUGAUCCGGUGGUUCUGAAUGGAAGGGCCAUCGCUCAACGGAUAAAAGGUACUCCGGGGAUAACAGGCUGAUACCGCCCAAGAGUUCAUAUCGACGGCGGUGUUUGGCACCUCGAUGUCGGCUCAUCACAUCCUGGGGCUGAAGUAGGUCCCAAGGGUAUGGCUGUUCGCCAUUUAAAGUGGUACGCGAGCUGGGUUUAGAACGUCGUGAGACAGUUCGGUCCCUAUCUGCCGUGGGCGUUGGAAGAUUGAGAGGGGCUGCUCCUAGUACGAGAGGACCGGAGUGGACGCACCGCUGGUGUUCGGGUUGUGAUGCCAAUUGCAUUGCCCGGUAGCUACGUGCGGAAGAGAUAAGCGCUGAAAGCAUCUAAGCGCGAAACUUGCCUCGAGAUGAGUCUUCCCUUGGACCUUGAGUCCACUGAAGGAACGUUUAAGACUAAGACGUUGAUAGGCUGGGUGUGUAAGCGUAGCGAUACGUUGAGCUAACCAGUACUAAUGAUCCGUGAGGCUUAACCUU
rnacentral:rRNA from 1 species